GGUGGUGGUUUGGCGCAGAACAAGAAGCACAUUGAACGCAGUGGAGAAGCAUGCGUGGAGAAGAGCACCAUGCCGUGGAGGAACGCACGGCGCCAUGGAGGAUAGAACCGCGCCGUGGAGAAGUGCACCGCACAAUGGAAAAGAGUGUCGAGUUAUAUUGUCGCUGUUAGGUUCGUCAAUUGGAGCUAGCAGUAGAGAAUGGGUGUUUGAAUGAAUAUAAGGGAA
rnacentral:lncRNA from 1 species